GGUCUGGUAGCUCAAUGGUAGAGUGCAGGUGGCCAAUACCUGAGAUUGUGGGUUCAAUUCCCACCUGGGUCA